AUUGAACGCUGGCGGAAUGCUUUACACAUGCAAGUCGAACGGCAGCACGGACUUCGGUCUGGUGGCGCGUGGCGAACGGGUGAGCACUGUAUCGGAACGUGCCCAGUCGUGGGGGAUAACGUAGUGAAAAUUACGCUAAUACCGCAUACGAUCUAUGGAUGAACGCGGGGGAUCGCCAGACCUCGCGCGAUUGGAGCGGCCGAUAUCAGAUUAGGUAGUUGGUGGGGUAAAGGCCCACCAAGCCAACGAUCUGUAGCUGGUCUGAGAGGACGACCAGCCACACUGGAACUGAGACACGGUCCAGACUCCUACGGGAGGCAGCAGUGGGGAAUUUUGGACAAUGGGCGAAAGCCUGAUCCAGCCAUUCCGCGUGCAGAAUGAAGGCCCUCGGGUUGUAAACUGCUUUUGUACAGAACGAAAAGGUUUCUACUAAUACUAGGAGCUCAUGACGGUACUGUAAGAAUAAGCACCGGCUAACUACGUGCCAGCCGCCGCGGUAA
rnacentral:rRNA from 1 species